rnacentral:tRNA from 1 species
GGUCCCAUGGUCAAGAGGUCAAGACGAGACCCUCUCAAGGUCUAAUCCCGGGUUCGAUUCCCGGUGGGAUCACCA